GUAUUGUAUGAGAGGAAAGAAGGUUAGCAUUUCCCUUGAUAACAGUGGAAGAGGUCUUAAGUGGCCUUUACAACACAUAUACAGUUAAGGUAUUGCCACCUACUCUGUGAUAUCUAACCAAGCUCCGCU